GGCGGACGGGUGAGUAACGCGUGGGUAACCUGCCUCAUACAGGGGGAUAACAGCUAGAAAUGGCUGCUAAUACCGCAUAAGACCACAGUACUGCAUGGUACAGUGGUAAAAACUCCGGUGGUAUGAGAUGGACCCGCGUCUGAUUAGGUAGUUGGUGAGGUAACGGCCCACCAAGCCGACGAUCAGUAGCCGACCUGAGAGGGUGACCGGCCACAUUGGGACUGAGACACGGCCCAGACUCCUACGGGAGGCAGCAGUGGGGAAUAUUGCACAAUGGGCGAAAGCCUGAUGCAGCGACGCCGCGUGAAGGAUGAAGUAUUUCGGUAUGUAAACUUCUAUCAGCAGGGAAGAAAAUGACGGUACCUGACUAAGAAGCCCCGGCUAACUACGUGCCAGCAGCCGCGGUAAUACGUAGGGGGCAAGCGUUAUCCGGAUUUACUGGGUGUAAAGGGAGCGUAGACGGCUGUGCAAGUCUGAAGUGAAAGGCAUGGGCUCAACCUGUGGACUGCUUUGGAAACUGUGCAGCUAGAGUGUCGGAGAGGUAAGUGGAAUUCCUAGUGUAGCGGUGAAAUGCGUAGAUAUUAGGAGGAACACCAGUGGCGAAGG
rnacentral:rRNA from 1 species